CAUGGGGUCCAUUUCGCCAAAUUUCAACUGUCCCCACCUUCCCAAGGUUCUGUUGGCUGCACAGACGUUGCCAAUUUCUUUUACACGGUUUCCAUACGCAACUGCAAGUUGUCAGCCAUGUUAAUAUCGACCGUACGGUCUUCUUCUCAGCCAAGUCUUUUGCUUUAUGUAGUAAUUCAAGUGGAUUAAUGAAGCAUUCCCUCACGAACUGAGAGUUUGGGUGAGCUGGUUUAGAGCAGAAACGCUUAUGCGCAUCAAGGCCCAUAACACCUUCUGUUUGUGACUGUCUUCUGCUUAUGCGUACCAAGGCCCCUGAGUCAUAACAGCUUCAAUUUGCGACUGUCUUCCGAGGAGAUGGCUCAACAAGACAAUCCUACUUGUGGCAGCCACGAAGACAAAGGAGUUCUUAUUGGUCAAGUAAAUGGUGGAGACCGAACACAAUUGAUCAGGAUUAAAUUGGGAAAAUAUUGAAAUCUAAUUUUUUUCAAAAUUUUCUAUGUUUUAGUAAAUUGCAAUUUUGAGGGUCUUCGGUGCAUUUUUGGACAAAUAUGCUGCGGAAACAUGAUGAGAUAUCAUCAAUGUUUCCGAAAUUUGGUUCUAGAUUAUUUGAAUACCUUUCCAACGCAUCAAACGGUUUGUAAUUGGGAGCUAGGAUGAGAAAGUUAUGCCUUCUCAAAGUGGACUAAAAUUUUAUA